CAGCCGCCGCGGGAAUACGAAGGGUGCAAGCGUUAAUCGGAAUUACUGGGCGUAAAGCGUGCGUAGGCGGUUUGUUAAGUCUGUUGUGAGAGCCCUGGGCUCAACCUGGGAAUUGCAGUGGAUACUGGGUCACUAGAGUGUGGUAGAGGAUAGUGGAAUUUCCGGUGUAGCAGUGAAAUGCGUAGAGAUCGGAAGGAACAUCUGUGGCGAAGGCGACUAUCUGGGCCAACACUGACACUGAGGCACGAAAGCGUGGGGAGCAAACAGGAUUAGAUACCCCUGUAGUCCCUGUCUCUUAUAC
rnacentral:rRNA from 1 species